ensembl:lncRNA
GUGUAUGUGUGUGUGUAUAUAUUCAAAAUAUAGAUUAAAUUAUUUAUUUUUUAUAAGCCUGUGUUGUAUUUGCAAUUGUUUGAUAUCCAUAAGAGCAAAUUUAACAAAAGAUCAAAAUGUUAAACAAUAAAGACAAUUUUCCACAGCCUUAUUUGCUCAUAUUUACCAAGGGUGCCAAUAUUAGUGGAAGGCGCUGUGUGUAUAUAUUUAUUUAUUUUAUCCAAUCAAAUUCCUUACGCCAGUGGGUUUCAUCACUUUCAUGUCUAUUUUGUGGACCUUAACUAAAUCGUACUUGAGCAACCUCAGUUUUUGCCACAGGGCAUGCGGCUGCACUGAACACCCUUUGGCUGUAUAAUCCGCUCCUUCUGUAAACAUGUUACAUCACUGCAUCACUGCCUCUGUCACUCCUAGCACGCUUUGUAACUUUAUCAUACACAAAGACUAUCAAACACACAGAAGAACACUAAACAAACACCUAAGCGAUCUAUUGUUGGCUAAGCAGCACUACACACUGCCACACUAGCUAGAGCUUUUCUUUGUUUUGGGUUCUUUUGAGCCCUGUUUUGUCCUUCCAACCAAUCUUCUUAUGACAACAUGAUAAAUACUGACAGCGAAGAGAUCUUACUGAAAAGGAAAUUGAACUAGGGAUUGUUUUUCCACCUUUUGCUUUCACAAGGAUGUCCAAUGAGACUUUUGUGCAAAGACUUCGUAAUAAUGUUUCCUUUUAUUUUCACCACUAUGUGUGGUGUUUUUUUUUUGGUGUUGUUUUUUUUUAACAGGCGAUAUUAAUACUGCGAAACAUCAUAUUUUUACACCCCAAAUAAAAAGUUGGGCUGGGUAAUAUGACAAUAUAGCAAUAUCAAUGUAUUAAUAUGUGACAUAUCAUGUCCUAUAUCAUAUCAUAUAAUACACUUUUCUGAAUACUGUUGUGCAGAUUUUCAUGUGAUAACUCUAUUGUUUAUUGGAUAUUGGAGCUGGGCGAUAUGACAAAAACAUCACAUCACGACACUUGAGGACAUUUCGGCGAUAUACAACAUGUAUGGUGAUGUAUAAUUUAGCUAACAAACUGUCUGCUAAAUGCUAGUAAAAUAAACAAACAUACAAUUUUUUUUUUAUUUAAAACCAUUAAACUGAGUUUGUCGAUACUUUAACACCUACAAAGACAAAAAAGGUUAAGUUAAAAAAAACAUCAAAUCAAUGACAUAAAAAAGACCAUCAUAACAACAAUAUCUCAGAAAAGUGUAUCAAUAUUAUAUCAAUAUAUCUCACAUACACACACACACACACACACACACACACACACACACACACACACACACAUACAUACAUACACACA